ACUUGCUGACAAAAAUUAUGCAAUUCUUGUACUGCAAAAUGACAUUGAUACUGAUUUUACAGGAAGAGUUGGAGAAAAUUCAGCAAGUAACACAAAACACUAAAACUCAAAAACACUACUCAGCAGAUAUUAGAACACUUAUAUACGACAUGCUUGUGUGUUAGUUCCUGGUUUCAUUCACUACACAAUUCAUUUUCUACACAAUUCUGCAAUACAAACUUCGCUACAAGGAUGCAAAAGUGAUCCAAAGGGUUUUGGGUUCUUUUUGGACCAACACGAGUUGCCCAGAAGAUUGCUACCACGCUAUAGAGGGAACAGAAUACAUAUGCUUUUUCACACAUGUGGUACUUUGAUCUAUAAUUAUUCCAUAUUGAAGAUAUUUUUGUGUUCUGGCUUGACAUUAUGUGAAUGUCUGCAAAAUGGUUUGUUUCAAGACUUUACAUCUGAAACAGGUUUUAACUAAUAGCAUGCUAAAAGAUUGCAAUUUGCUACUGUCUUAAAGUCCUCAAGAUUAUAU
rnacentral:lncRNA from 1 species